GACGAACGCUGGCGGCGUGCCUAAUACAUGCAAGUAGAACGAGGUGCGAACAGGUGAGUAACGCGUGGUAACCUGCCUCAUAGCGCGGGCUAACUAUUGGAAACGAUAGCAAACACCGCAUACUGUGAGAUGGACCUGUGUGUUAUUAGAUAGUUGGUGAGGUAAAGGCUCACCAAGGCGACGACCCCUAGCUGGUCUGAGAGGAUGACCAGCCACACUGGAACUGAGACACGGUCCAGACUCCUACGGUAGGCAGCAGUGGGGAAUAUUGGACAAUGGGCGCAAGCCUGAUGCAGCCAAGCCGCGUGAGUGAAGAAGGCUUUCGGAUUGUAAAGCACUUUCAGCAAGGAGGCGUUAUUCGCAUAGGAAGCACCGGCUAACUCCGUGCCAGCAGCCGCGGUAAUAC
rnacentral:rRNA from 1 species